AUUGAACGCUGGCGGCAGGCCUAACACAUGCAAGUCGAGCGAGCGGAGGACGGGUGAGUAAUGUCUGGGAAACUGCCUGAGGGAGGGGGAUAACUACUGGAAACGGUAGCUAAUACCGCAUACCAUCAGAUGUGCCCAGAUGGGAUUAGCUAGUGGGUGGGGUAAUGGCUCACCUAGGCGACGAUCCCUAGCUGGUCUGCGAGGAUGACCAGCCACACUGGAGCUGAGACACUGUCCAUACUCCUACGGGGGGCAGCAGUGGGGAAUAUUGCACAAUGGGGGCAAGCCUGAUGCAGCCAUGCCGCGUGUAUGAAGAAGGCCUUCGGGUUGUAAAGUACUUUCAGCGAGGAGGCGUUACUCGCAGAAGAAGCACCGGCUAACUCCGUGCCAGCAGCCGCGGUAAUUC
rnacentral:rRNA from 1 species